GACGAACGCUGGCGGCGUGCUUAACACAUGCAAGUCGAACGAAGAGCGAUGGAAGCUUGCUUCUAUCAAUCUUAGUGGCGAACGGGUGAGUAACGCGUAAUCAACCUGCCCUUCAGAGGGGGACAACAGUUGGAAACGACUGCUAAUACCGCAUACGAUCUAAUCUCAGCAUCGAGGAUAGAUGAAAGGUGGCCUCUACAUGUAAGCUAUCACUGAAGGAGGGGAUUGCGUCUGAUUAGCUAGUUGGAGGGGUAACGGCCCACCAAGGCGAUGAUCAGUAGCCGGUCUGAGAGGAUGAACGGCCACAUUGGGACUGAGACACGGCCCAGACUCCUACGGGAGGCAGCAGUGGGGAAUCUUCCGCAAUGGACGAAAGUCUGACGGAGCAACGCCGCGUGAGUGAUGACGGCCUUCGGGUUGUAAAGCUCUGUUAAUCGGGACGAAAGGCCUUCUUGCGAACAGUUAGAAGGAUUGACGGUACCGGAAUAGAAAGCCACGGCUAACUACGUG
rnacentral:rRNA from 1 species